rnacentral:rRNA from 1 species
AUUGAACGCUGGCGGCAGGCUUAACACAUGCAAGUCGAGCGAGCGGCGGACGGGUGAGUAAUGUCUGGGAAACUGCCUGAUGGAGGGGGAUAACUACUGGAAACGGUAGCUAAUACCGCAUACCAUCAGAUGUGCCCAGAUGGGAUUAGCUAGUAGGUGGGGUAAUGGCUCACCUAGGCGACGAUCCCUAGCUGGUCUGAGAGGAUGACCAGCCACACUGGAACUGAGACACGGUCCAGAUUCCGAGGGGAGGCAGCAGUGGGGAAUAGUGGACAAUGGGGGCAAGCCUGAGGCAGCCAUGCCGCAUGUGUGAAGAAGGCCUUCGGGUUGUAAAGCACUUUCAGCGAGGAGGCGUUACUCGCAGAAGAAGCACCGGCUAACGCCGUGCCAGCCGCCGCGGUAAUUC